rnacentral:lncRNA from 1 species
CCACAAAAUACUUAAUAAUCAUAUUGCUCCUGCUUUCUGACAGCAUCCAAUCUAAAGUCUUCACUUUCUGAGAUCCUGUCCGAAAUCAACCAAUUAAAGCCCAAAUCGUAUAAUAGUUUCUCUCUAACUCCUCCCACUGAGAUGACCCAUAGUACCCCAUUCCUUGCUGCAAUGUAAUUAUAUUUAAUUACAAGUGUGCCCCUGGUAGUCUUUAACUGAAGGGCACUGACUGGGUCACUGGUGAAGUUCCCCGCAGGAACUGAGUCAGACCCCAUCUCAGGGCCCUGCACAAGAUAGGUGCCUGCUCUAAGGCGUGGACCCUCGCCACAGCCCUGGCCCGUCUUGACGGGCGAGGGUUACUGUACUUGUCCCAACCGUACAGAUGAGAAAGCUGAGACUCAGGGCCAGCAACCCGGGUCCCAGCGGAGCGCCCGGCACACGCCGACACUUCAGCACCAGUGGCGGUGGCCACCACUGUGGGCGGAGAUGGCUGCGACGCGUGCGCAGAUCUCGAUCCCAAACUCCCUCCUGCCAGAAUCUGGACCCGAAUCCACCCAUUGCCCGUUUUCCGCUGCCGCUGGAGAGAAUCUCUGAGGUCCCCAGGAGAGCCUGCCUGCACGGAAGAGACGCCUCCUCGGGAAAUUUGUGCACAGAGAUAACACAGGGGAUAUGCCAUAUGAAGAUGAAGGCAGAAUUCUACAAGCCCAGGGAUGCCAAAGAUUGCCAGCAAACCACCAGAAGCUAGGAGAGAAGUGUGGAUUAGAUUCUUCCUCACAGCCCUCAGAAGGAUCCAGCCCUGCCAAGAACUUGAUCUCAGACUUCUAGUCUCCAGAACUGUGAGACAGUGCAUUUUGUUUUGUAAGUCAGCCAUAUGGUUUGUGGCACUUUUUUAUGGCAGCCCUAGGAGAUGAAGACAAUAUGCAACAUGGUAUGUCCAUUAUAGGACACUGUGGGCCAUAAAUGUGUUCUUUGGCCUGAAGAAAUAAAACUUGGUGGUCCAAG